rnacentral:rRNA from 1 species
CUCCGGUUGAUCCUGCCGGACCCGACUGCUAUCAGAGUGGGACUAAGCCAUGCGAGUUAACGUAGCAAUACGUGGCGCACGGCUCAGUAACACGUAGUCAACAUGCCCAGAGGACGUGGAUAACCUCGGGAAACUGAGUCUAAACCGCGAUAAGUGAGGAUUUCUGGAAUGGUUCCUGACUAAAAUCUAUAUGGCCUCUGGAUUGGACUGCGGCCGAUCAGGCUGUUGGUGAGGUAAUGGCCCACCAAACCUGUAACCGGUACGGGCUCUGAGAGGAGGAGCCCGGAGAUGGGCACUGAGACAAGGGCCCAGGCCCUAUGGGGCGCAGCAGGCGCGAAACCUCUGCAAUAGGCGAAAGCCUGACAGGGUUACUCUGAGUGACUUUCGCUAAGAAAGUCUUUUGGCACCUCUAAAAAGGGUGCAGAAUAAGGGGUGGGCAAGUCUGGUGUCAGCCGCCGCGGUAAUACCAGCACCCCGAGUGGUCGGGACGAUUAUUGGGCCUAAAGCAUCCGUAGCCGGUUCUGCAAGUCCCCCGUUAAAUCCAGCUGCUCAACAGAUGGGCCGCGGAGGAUACUACAGAGCUAGGAGGCAGGAGAGGCAAGCGGUACUCAGUGGGUAGGGGUAAAAUCCGUUGAUCCAUUGAAGACCACCAGUGGCGAAGGCGGCUUGCCAGAAUGCGCUCGACGGUGAGGGAUGAAAGCUGGGGGAGCAAACCGGAUUAGAUACCCGGGUAGUCCCAGCUGUAAACGAUGCAGACUCGGUGAUGAGUUGGCUUAUUGCUAACUCAGUGCCGCAGGGAAGCCGUUAAGUUUGCCGCCUGGGGAGUACGGUCGCAAGACUGAAACUUAAAGGAUUGGCGGGGGAGCA